UGAGAGGCCCGGACGGCCGCUCCGGUGGAGCGCGAGCUCCCGCCGGGGAGGGAAAGUCCGGACUCCACGGGUCAGAGUGGUUGCCAACGGCAACCGGCCGUGAGGCCAGGGAAAGUGCCACAGAAAACAGACCGCCGACGUCGAGCGCGAGCUCGACGGGUAAGGGUGAAACGGUGCGGUAAGAGCGCACCGCGUUGCUGGUGACAGCAGCGGCAGGGCAAACCCCACUCGGAGAAAGUUCAAAUAGGGAAGGACAUGUGGCGACGACCCGCGUCCAGGGCCUUCCGGGUAGAGCGUUCGAGGCCGCGCGCGAGCGCGGUCCCAGAGAAAUGGCCGUCGCUCGCCGCGAGGCGAGGCCAGAAUCCGGCUCACAGGGCCUCUCACGCC
rnacentral:RNase_P_RNA from 1 species